rnacentral:rRNA from 1 species
GAUGAACGCUGGCGGCGUGCCUAAUACAUGCAAGUCGAGCGAACAGACGAGGAGCUUGCUCCUCUGACGUUAGCGGCGGACGGGUGAGUAACACGUGGAUAACCUUCCUAUAAGACUGGGAUAACUUCGGGAAACCGGAGCUAAUACCGGAUAAUAUAUUGAACCGCAUGGUUCAAUAGUGAAAGACGGUUUUGCUGUCACUUAUAGAUGGAUCCGCGCCGCAUUAGCUAGUUGGUAAGGUAACGGCUUACCAAGGCAACGAUGCGUAGCCGACCUGAGAGGGUGAUCGGCCACACUGGAACUGAGACACGGUCCAGACUCUUACGGGAGGCAGCAGUAGGGAAUCUUCCGCAAUGGGCGAAAGCCUGACGGAGCAACGCCGCGUGAGUGAUGAAGGUCUUCGGAUCGUAAAACUCUGUUAUUAGGGAAGAACAAAUGUGUAAGUAACUAUGCACGUCUUGACGGUACCUAAUCAGAAAGCCACGGCUAACUACGUG